AAACUUAGACCGUAGCCGAAAAUUUCCCCUGCCGGGCAAAGAGUU
rnacentral:misc_RNA from 1 species